rnacentral:rRNA from 1 species
UACGUAGGGGGCAAGCGUUGUCCGGAAUCAUUGGGCGUAAAGCGCGUGUAGGCGGCUCGGUAAGUCUGCUGUGAAAGUCCAGGCUCAACCCUGGGAUGCCGGUGGAUACUGUCGAGCUCGAGUCCGGAAGAGGCGAGUGGAAUUCCUGGUGUAGCGGUGAAAUGCGCAGAUAUCAGGAGGAACACCAAUGGCGAAGGCAGCUCGCUGGGACGUGACUGACGCUGAGACGCGAAAGCGUGGGGAGCAAACAGG